rnacentral:rRNA from 1 species
CGCUAGGAUGAACGCUAGCGAUAGGCCUAACACAUGCAAGUCGAGGGGCAGCACAUGAGUAGCAAUACGAUGGUGGCGACCGGCGCACGGGUGAGUAACACGUACGCAACCUGCCUUUAACAGGGGAAUAACCCGUUGAAAAACGGACUAAUACUCCAUAACACAGGGGUCCCGCAUGGGAAUAUUUGUUAAAGAUUUAUCGGUUGAAGAUGGGCAUGCGUUCCAUUAGCUUGUUGGUGAGGUAACGGCUCACCAAGGCUACGAUGGAUAGGGGAACUGAGAGGUUUAUCCCCCACACUGGAACUGAGACACGGUCCAGACUCCUACGGGAGGCAGCAGUGAGGAAUAUUGGUCAAUGGAGGCAACUCUGAACCAGCCAAGUCCGCGUGAAGGAUGAAGGUCUUAUGGAUUGUAAACUUCUUUUGCAAGGGAAUAAAGUGGGGGACGUGUCCUCCUUUGCAUGUACCUUGCGAAUAAGGAUCGGCUAACUCCGUGCCAGCCGCCGC